GACAGAGGGUGCAAACGUUGUUCGGAAUUACUGGGCGUAAAGCGCGUGUAGGCGGCCAAGUAAGUCGGGCGUGAAAUCCCACGGCUCAACCGUGGAAGUGCACUCGAAACUGCGUAGCUAGAGUCCUGGAGAGGAAGGUGGAAUGCUUGGUGUAGAGGUGAAAUUCGUAGAUAUCAAGCGGAACACCGGUGGCGAAGGCGGCCUUCUGGACAGUGACUGACGCUGAGACGCGAAAGCGUGGGGAGCAAACAGG
rnacentral:rRNA from 1 species